rnacentral:rRNA from 1 species
AUGGAAGAGUUAGGGCUGAAAGAAGAUGAACUUGAAGAUGUGGUCAUGGAAGAUGAGGAGCUGCCAGAGGCGGCGACCCGGUGGAUGAUCAUUGCUAGGGUUCACACUGAGAAACCCUAUAGUCAAUUCUGGUUUUAUAGAACCAUGCGGGUGGCUUGGGACCUGGCGAAGGAAGUCAAGAUCAAGCCGCUGGAGGAGAACUUGUACACGAUGCAGUUCGGUUGCCUUGGAGAUUGGGAACGCGUAAUGGAAGAAGGACCGUGGGCUUACAAAGGGAAAGCGGUGGUGCUGGCGCCGUAUGAUGGCUUCACAAAGCCGUCGACGAUCGAGCUGAACAGAAUUGAGAUGUGGAUCCAGAUCCACGACUUCCUAGAAGGCUACUUUUCCAAGAUCAAGGCUUUGUCUGCGACGGUCGGAGAGUUUAUUUAUGCCGAGCCAAGUUCCCAUGAUUUUGAGGGGAAUUUUGUCAGAGUGAGGGUCAAGAUUGACGUCAACAAACCACUCAAAAAUGUUGUAUCCCUGGUGAUCAAGAAGGACACGGUUCGGCGGCUCAUAUUCAGGGUGAAAAUACGAAAGACUCCCGGUUUGGUGUGCUGUGUGUGGCCUAUUGGGUCAUCUUUUCAAGGAGUGUUGCGAUGGAGUCCAUCCUCCAAAGGCCCUGCUGUUUAG